UACGAAGGGGGCUAGCGUUGCUCGGAAUCACUGGGCGCAAAGCGCACGUAGGCGGAUUGUUAAGUCAGGGGUGAAAUCCUGGAGCUCAACUCCAGAACUGCCUUUGAUACUGGCGAUCUCGAGUCCGGGAGAGGUGAGUGGAACUGCGAGUGUAGAGGUGAAAUUCGUAGAUAUUCGCAAGAACACCAGUGGCGAAGGCGGCUCACUGGCCCGGUACUGACGCUGAGGUGCGAAAGCGUGGGGAGCAACA
rnacentral:rRNA from 1 species